CGGUCACACUGCAGAAAGAGCACGCCGCAAUACUUAAUGUACAAAGUUUCAACUUUAUUGUAAAAGCAAAAGCAAAAGGACAAUUUACCAUCAAAUACUUAAGUAAACCGAUGAACAGUCUCGGAGGAUGCCGCUGCAUGUCAAUUGCAAUACGAUUACCAGGCGGAAGGCGACUAACAGACUGCAUGCCAAGUAUUCUGUCCAACAUGCGAAUUAGAUUCUUGUGCGGCUAGACACGUGACGAUUAUGUUCCAGAUGAGGAUGAACAGACGCGCAUUGAUUCGGACUCGCGACACGCUGAGCAUUUGGCCAAUGAAGAGGCUGCCAGCAAUGUGUAGAAAGAUUGCAUCCUGCAUAUCCCGGAAACCGAUGCCAAUUGGCUGCAGUGUUUUCUGAGCAAGAUCUUCAAGAGACCAUGAUGUCGCAGAGCAAGUCUGCCGAUGGACUCACGAUCGGGUCUGCUUUAGCAACUGCAUCCCAUCAAUAAGCGAUGCCAGCAAGCAGACAGCGACCCAGGACAUAAGCAAGGAUUCGUACCAGCGACAUUUGCCGCAAUUUGGUGUCGAUGUCAAGAGAUCCUGUGAGACGAAAAUCGUAACCGUUUUCGUAUUCACAGAGCUGAAGGAUGAGGAUCGCACGCUUCUAUUGCCGCUCUGCUAUACACAGAUGGCCGAUGGGGCCCAUUGAACUCAACUAUGUGGGGAUCCAGCUGGAGCGUGAAUGCCGCCAGUGACUGCAACCUUUUUCCUGCGGAAGAUCGAGGAAGGCUGGCGUGUCGUUGUUCCCGGCAAACAAGACUUUACAUUGUCCAACAUAAGCGACUCUUACGUGGGCUGCGAUCAGGAGUAGAAGGACUACAAGGAUCAGGAGUCAAAGUGGCCGAUUUCCAAUCUGACAGUCAGACCGAGUCGGAUUAGGGCGCAGGCUAAGAUUAGUAUACAUAGCAAAUACUUCCUUUUUGUAAAAAUAUGAAAUUAACCUAGUUUUUGUACUAAUAAAACAUGUAGCACA